UGCGGGGUAGAGCAGCCCGGUAGCUCGCCAGGUUCAUACCCUGGAGGUCGGUGGAUCGAAGCCACCCCCCGCAACCA
rnacentral:tRNA from 1 species